AACGAACGCUGGCGGCAGGCCUAACACAUGCAAGUCGAGCGAGACCUUCGGGUCUAGCGGCGGACGGGUGAGUAACGCGUGGGAAUAUGCCCUUUGGUACGGAAUAGCCUCGGGAAACCGAGAGUAAUACCGUAUGUGCCCUUCGGGGGAAAGAUUUAUCGCCAAAGGAUUAGCCCGCGUUGGAUUAGGUAGUUGGUGGGGUAAUGGCCUACCAAGCCUACGAUCCAUAGCUGGUUUGAGAGGAUGAUCAGCCACACUGGGACUGAGACACGGCCCAGACUCCUACGGGAGGCAGCAGUGGGGAAUCUUAGACAAUGGGGGCAACCCUGAUCUAGCCAUGCCGCGUGAGUGAUGAAGGCCUUAGGGUUGUAAAGCUCUUUCAGCUGGGAAGAUAAUGACGGUACCAGCAGAAGAAGCCCCGGCUAACUCCGUGCCAGCCGCCGCCGUAAUAC
rnacentral:rRNA from 1 species